GUACCCCUUCCGACCCAGAUUUGUCUAAAAUAGGCUAAAAUCUGUUUUUUUUUCAAGGGGCAUAUUAAUUCCCCAUUAAACACACAGAAGCAGUUUGGUUGCUUCUGAUGUAUCCUGUCUAGGGAAACAUUU